UUAUUAUUCCCUUAGAUCCAUAUUAUUUGUCUUAGAUUUGUCUAGACACGAAGGAUGUAUCUAGACACGUUUUAGUGUAAGAUACAUCUGUACCUAGACAAAUCUAAGACAAGUAAUAUGGAUCGGAGGGAGUAUUAC
rnacentral:pre_miRNA from 1 species